AGAGAGCUCCGAGAAGCUGUGACUAGCCCAAGGUCACCCAGCUGGCGUGUGUGGGAGUGCACAGGCUAAUCUGAAUUCCCCAGAUAAGCCUCCACAGCUCAGGCGGCAGAGCUGAGCAUUCAGUUUAAACAACAAGAUUCAGUUAUAAACAGUAUUUGUAUGCUCUGACCAGCAUUCCCAGUGGUUGUGGGAAUGGGGCUUCUCUAUCACCUCUGCCAUCCUCUGAAUUAGAAGAAACAGAAUAAUCUCACCAGAAGAAGUAGAGUGGAUUUUAAUACCCCACUUUUCUCUCCUGUAAGGAAUCCCGAAGCGACUUACAAACUCCUUCCCUCCCUCUCCCCACAAUAGACAACUGGUAAGGUUGGUGGGGCUGAGAGAGUUCUGAGAGAACUAAGACUGGCCCAAGGUCACUCAUCAGGCUUCGUGCAGAGGUGUGGAGAAACAAACCGGGUUCUCUAGAUUAGAGUCUGCUGCUCGUUUAGGAGCGGGGAAACAAACCUGGUUCUCCAGAUUAGAGUUCUUCCCCUGUUAACCACGAUACCUUCCAAAUUGAAGAGCUGAGUAGUGAUUUGGAAAAUUCAGUUUAUAUUGGUACAAUUUGAGUGUUUGAUAUAUGGAAAAGAUGCAGUUUUGACUUUGGCCUCUCUGUGCAUCUGUAGCUCUGUCCAAGUAUUCUCACUUUCAGGUGGGCAUCUCUGUGAAGGUGUAUUUACUAGGGUGGGGAAUGCUUUUCAGACACGCAUACACUCAGUGCAUAGUCCAGUUUUUGGAGGCCUUGACUGAACUGGGGAGGAGCAGGGACUUUGCUGCUGGCUUGAGUAACUGUCUUUGGAGUCUUGGGCCCCUUCCGCACAUGCAAAAUAAUGCGUUUUCAAACCACUUUCACAACUGUUUGCAAGUGGAUUUUGCUAUUCCGCACAGCUUCAAAGAGCACUGAAAGCAGUUUGAAAAUGCAUUAUUCUGCACGUGCGGAAGGAGCCUUGGUCACACCAGACUGUGUCAGAAUGUUGAAUGUGUCUUAAAGUUGGCAUGUAUUAACUAGGACACGCAUACACACGCGCACACACACGCCAUCCCUGCAAUAUUGUGCUAAUAAACUGGUAAAAUUAUACGGAAACUCACCUGUACAGCUAAUGAUUGUUCAAAAUCGCUCCCUGCCUUUUACCACUUGCUUUCAUUAGAUGUGUGGUCCAACUUGUUUUACAAGGGUGUGUUGGAACGGAGGUAUUAUUUUGGAUGAAUUUCAGUGGCCUUUGAGUCUGUGAAAACAGUAUGUGUACCUGAGGCUGUCUAUAAGGGCAAAAAGAUUAGAAACCGGUCAUUCUCUUAGAUGCACAUUUUUUUUAUUCCACAGGAUGUUCAGUGCCACCCUGCAUGACCUACCACAAGUGCCUUUUUCAGAGUUCUUCUGCCAGCAAAGCAACAACAAUGCCCUUCAAGUUACUUCAGUGUUGUUCAGUUAACUUUUCCAAGAAUGCCCUUGGAAGGCUGACUGAUGGAUUUCCCACUUGAGGGGCCUGCCAUGCGAGGUGACAGAGAUGUGUGUAAAACCUACUUCCAGUGUAGAUUAUUGAGAAAAAUGAAAGCAGUUAAAACACACAAAAAAUAAUUCAAAGGACAUUUUGUUCCACAGCCUGUACUAACGCCGAAAAUGCGGGCUUAUUAAGUCUCUGACAGACCUCCAAAUGAUAAACUUUAACUUCUCCUAAAACUGGUUUGGGUUUGGAGGUGGUUAAUUCUACCGCUACCACCCACCUUGAAAGAUUUUCAGGGUAAAGGACCUGUGUGCCUGGUGACAGCAGGGAGAGAACACAGGUUAUGAAUACUCAGAAUCACCACACUUUGGAGGUGGGAGUGGAAACAGAGAUAAAGCCGGACAGGGGAACUUUGUUGGUGAAAGCCACAUAGCAAUAAGAUUCAGAAGUAGAAGGCGACCGCUGUACUUGUUUAACUGCAAGCACAUAUAACAACCAUAAUACCACGCCAAUGCAACCCGUGGCACUAAAUUCUAGUGGGGAAUCACAUUGAAUUAUUGUUUUAAAACAUGGUCACAAGCUCCAAACAGUCUGGGCCCAGGGUAAUUCCUUGUUUUGUAUGAAUUUGCUGCUUACGAAUGGCAUCUGAGACCCUGUUCCAUUGACCUUCCAGCUAUAAACAGGGUCUUCUCAGUGUUGGCACCUUAAAUCUUAUGUUAUCGGGCAAAAAAGCCCAAGCAUGCUGCUAAUCGUGUAGUCACCUUGGUUUGGACAUUGAGUUCAUUUUACUGACUUCUUUCCCUGAUGCUUUUGACAUGUUUGCUUUUAAAAAUGUUUGCUUUAGAAAUGUUUGCUCUUUUGCUGCUUUUAAAACCAUCAUAUUGACACUACUGGUUUUUAUGUCUUUUUAUCCUGCCAAGUACUGCUUUGAUAACUUGUACGGUAAUAGAGAACACGGCUACUGUGUAACUUGCAUACUUCUGACAGAGUUGUGCUGAAGGUUAUUGAUUAGAAGGACAAGUCCACAACUCUGUUGUUGAUUGUGUCAAAUCAAUUUCCAUUUCGUUUUUUUUGCCAGAUUUGAGCACUGAUUGUAACGGAAGGGUUAGUAACUUGUCUUUGUGGAAACUAAUUCAGUGCCAAUCUUUAUGAAUGAAAAACCUUCAUCUUGCUUAAGUGCCUUAUAUUGCCAGGGUCAGAGGGAGAUUUUAUUUUAUUAAAUCCUUUGUAUAGAACUGUUUACAGGGUUUGCUGUGUUGGAAUUCUUUUGAUUCGAACCCCAAUCAUUUGUUUGAAGUUUGCAGUGACUAUUCUUUGAAGUAUAAAGAAAUGUAUAUAUCAAAUAAAUCAGUACUUGUAUUUUGUUUAUA